GACAGAGGAGGCGAGCGUUAUCCGGAGUCAUUGGGCGUAAAGGGUACGUAGGCGGCUAGUCAAGUCUGAGGUUAAAGACCACAGCUUAACUGUGGGAAGGCCUUGGAGACUGACUGGCUAGAGUGGGGCAGGGGUUGCGGGAAUUCCCGGGGUAGCGGUGAAAUGCGUAGAUAUCGGGAAGAACACCUGAGGCGAAAGCGCGCAACUGGGCCCUGACUGACGCUGAGGUACGAAAGCUAGGGGAGCGAAUGGG
rnacentral:rRNA from 1 species